rnacentral:rRNA from 1 species
AGAAUUUGAUCUUGGUUCAGAUUGAAUGCUGACGGCGUGGAUGAGGCAUGCAAGUCGAACGAAAUAGUAGGGCAACUUGCUAUUUAGUGGCGGAAGGGUUAGUAAUACAUGGAUAACCUACCUCUUACCUGGGGAUAACGGCUGGAAACGGCCGCUAAUACCGAAUGAGGUGGCAUAAGGCAUCUUAUGCAAAUCAAAGUUGGGGACCUUGAAAGAGGCCUUGCGGUAAGAGAAGGGUCCAUGGGAUAUCAGCUUGUUGGUGGGGUAAAGGCCUACCAAGGCUUAGACGUCUAGGCGGAUUGAGAGAUUGAUCGCCAACACUGGGACUGAGACACUGCCCAGACUCCUACGGGAGGCUGCAGUCGAGAAUCUUUCGCAAUGGGCGAAAGCCUGACGAAGCGACGCCGUGUGAACGAAGAAGGCCCUCGGGUCGUAAAGUUCUUUCGCUUGGGAACAAGAAAUAAGGACGAAUAAUCCUUAAAUUUGAGGGUACCAGGUAAAGAAGCACCGGCUAACUCCGUGCCAGCAGCUGCGGUAAUACGGAGGGUGCAAGCAUUAAUCGGAUUUACUGGGCGUAAAGGGCGCGUAGGCGUUUAUGUAAGUCGUGUGUGAAAUUCCGAUGCUCAACAUCGGAGCUGCACAGGAAACUGCAUGAAUUGAGGGUAGGCGGAGAAAAUGGAAUUCCACAUGUAGCGGUGAAAUGCGUAGAUAUGUGGAGGAACACCAGAGGCGAAAGCGGUUUUCUAGCUUAUUCCUGACGCUGAGGCGCGAAAGCAAGGGGAUCAAACAGGAUUAGAUACCCAGGUAGUCCUUGCCGUAAACGAUGCAUACUUGGUGUGGCUGGGCUCAACCCCAGCCGUGUCGGAGCUAACGUGUUAAGUAUGCCGCCUGGGGAGUACGCUCGCAAGGGUGAAACUCAAAAGAAUUGACGGGGACCCGCACAAGCAGUGGAGCAUGUGGUUUAAUUCGAUGCAACGCGAAGAACCUUACCCAGACUUGACAUGCAGAGGACGACAUCAGAAAUGGUGUUUCCCGCAAGGGUCUCUGUGCAGGUGCUGCAUGGCUGUCGUCAGCUCGUGCCGUGAGGUGUUGGGUUAAGUCCCGCAACGAGCGCAACCCUUAUCGUUAGUUGCCAACAUGUUAUGGUGGGGACUCUAACGAGACUGCCUGGGUUAACCAGGAGGAAGGUGAGGAUGACGUCAAGUCCGCAUGGCCCUUAUGUCUGGGGCUACACACGUGCUACAAUGGUCGAUACAGAGGGCAGCAAAGCCGUGAGGUGAAGCAAAUCCCAGAAAGUCGAUCUCAGUUCGGAUUGUAGUCUGCAACUCGGCUACAUGAAGUUGGAAUUGCUAGUAAUGGCGUGUCAGCAACAACGCCGUGAAUACGUUCCCGGGUCUUGUACACACCGCCCGUCACAUCAUGGAAGUUGGUUUUGCCCGAAGUCGCUGACUCAACCGCAAGGGGAGAGGCGCCUAAGGUGAGGCCGAUGACUAGGAUGAAGUCGGAACAAGGUA